UGGGGAAUAUUGGACAAUGGGCGAAAGCCUGAUCCAGCAAUGCCGCGUGCAGGAUGAAGGCCUUCGGGUUGUAAACUGCUUUUGUACGGAGCGAAAAGGUCUGCCCUAAUACGGUGGGCUCAUGACGGUACCGUAAGAAUAAGCACCGGCUAACUACGUGCCAGCAGCCGCGGUAAUACGUAGGGUGCGAGCGUUAAUCGGAAUUACUGGGCGUAAAGCGUGCGCAGGCGGUUAUAUAAGACAGAUGUGAAAUCCCCGGGCUCAACCUGGGACCUGCAUUUGGGACUGUAUAGCUGGAGUACGGUAGAGGGGGAUGGAAUUCCGCGUGUAGCAGUGAAAUGCGUAGAUAUGCGGAGGAACACCGAUGGCGAAGGCAAUCCCCUGGACCUGUACUGACGCUCAUGCACGAAGGCGUGGGGAGCAAACA
rnacentral:rRNA from 1 species